CCCCACUGAGGAUGGGGCUGGAACUCAGGACACCACCUCGGCCACAACUCCAGGGCCAAGCUCUGGCCUCGGUCUCUCUGUGGCAACGCUGGCCUGCCAUGAAAGCUCCUGGGCUCCACAUUACUCAAGGGAGGCACCUGUCAGAGUUUCCGAGAAUUGGAGAGGCCAGGCCGCUCACCGCCCUCUCUUGGAUGGAGUGUGCCCAGCCAGCAGAGGCCCAAGGCCACCCACCUGUCGUCAUGCCCGGAGCCACAGCGACACGCACACAUGCGCACACACGUGCAUGUAGGCUCACUCAGCCUGGUGCAGCAGUGAAACGCACUCUCAGCCAGACUCCAGACCUGAUUCCUGGGUCUGCUACCCACUAGCUUGUGGGCUUGGAAAAGGCACGUAGCAUCUCUGUGCCUCAGGUUCCUCCUCUAUAAAAUGAGAGCAUAAUCAGA